rnacentral:rRNA from 1 species
GACGAACCGUACAAACGUUAUUCGGAAUUACUGGGCUUAAAGGGUGCGUAGGCGGCGCGGUAAGUUGGGUGUGAAAUCCCUCGGCUCAACCGAGGAAUUGCGCUCGAUACUGCCGUGCUCGAGGGAGACAGAGGUGAGCGGAACUUAGGGUGGAGCGGUGAAAUGCGUUGAUAUCCUAAGGAACACCAGUGGCGAAAGCGGCUCACUGGGUCUCUUCUGACGCUGAGGCACGAAAGCUAGGGGAGCGAACGGG